AGCCACCUGCUCGACUCGCCAGAAACACCUGCCGGACGCGCCAAAAUCACCUGCCGGGUAUGCCAGAACCACCUGGCGGACACUACGGAAUCACCUGCCGCGCAUGCCGGAACCACCUCUCAGACGUGCCGGAAGCACGUGCCAGACACGCUGGAAACACCUACCGGACAGACCGAAACCACCUGCCAAGAACGCCGGAGCCACCUGUUCGACUCGCUGGAACCACCUGCCGGACAGGCCGAUAUCAACUGCUGGCUAUGCCAGAACCACCUGGGGGACAGUCCGGGAUCACCUGCCAGCCAUGGCGGAACCACCUCUCAGACGUACCAGAACCACCUGCCGGAGAUGCUGGAAACACGUCCUGGACAGACUGGAACCACGUGACGGCCAUGCCUGAACCAACUGCCGAGCACGGCGGAACAACCUGCCGGACACGCCAAAAUCACCUGCGGGCUACGACAGAACCACUUGGACGACUCUCCGAAAUGACCUGCCGGGCAUGUUGGAACCACCUCUCAGACGUGCCAGAAGCACGUGGCGGACAGUCCGGAAUCACCUGUUGGGCAUACGCAACCACCUCUGAGACGUACCAGAACCACGUGCCGUGCACGCCGGAACCACCUACCGGACAGACCGGAAUCAACUUUUGGGCAUGCCGGAACCACCAGUCAGAUGUGCCAGAAACACGUGCCGGAGACGCCAGAUGCACCUGCCGAGCACGUCGCAACCACCCGCUCAACUCGCCUGAACCACCUGCCGGACACGCCAAAAUCACCUGCCCGCUACACCAGCACCACUUCGGGGACAAGCCGGAAUCACGUGAGGGGCAUGCCGGCACAGCCUCUCAGACUGAACCUCGUGCCGGACACCACAGAACCACCUGCCGGACAGACCGGAACCACCUGCCGGACACGCCGGAACCACCGGCUCUACCCGCCGGAACGACCGCUGGACAUGCAAACUCACCUGCCGGCUAUGCCGGAAACACUUGGCGAACACUCCGGAAUCACCUGCCGGGCAUGCCGGAACCACCUCUCAGAUAUGCCAGAAUCACGUGCCAAUGACCCCGGAAGCACCUGCCGAGCACGCCGGAACCACCUGCUUACUCGUCAGAACCACCUUGCG
rnacentral:lncRNA from 1 species